rnacentral:rRNA from 1 species
CUGGGUGACGAGCGGCGGACGGGUGAGUAAUGUCUGGGAAACUGCCUGAUGGCGGGGGAUAACUAGUGGAAACGGUAGCUAAUACCGCAUAACGUCGCAAGACCAAAGUGGGGGACCUUCGGGCCUCACGCCAUCAGAUGUGCCCAGGUGGGAUUAGCUGGUAGGUGGGGUAACGGCUCACCUAGGCGACGAUCCCUAGCUGGUCUGAGAGGAUGACCAGCCACACUGGAACUGAGACACGGUCCAGACUCCUACGGGAGGCAGCAGUGGGGAAUAUUGCACAAUGGGCGCAAGCCUGAUGCAGCCAUGCCGCGUGUGUGAAGAAGGCCUUCGGGUUGUAAAGCACUUUCAGCGAGGAGGAAGGGUAAUGUGUUAAUAGGACAUUGCA